rnacentral:rRNA from 1 species
ACCUACGGGAGGCAGCAGUGGGGAAUAUUGCACAAUGGGGGAAACCCUGAUGCAGCGACGCCGCGUGAGCGAAGAAGUAUUUCGGUAUGUAAAGCUCUAUCAGCAGGGAAGAAAAAUGACGGUACCUGAGUAAGAAGCACCGGCUAAAUACGUGCCAGCAGCCGCGGUAAUACGUAUGGUGCAAGCGUUAUCCGGAUUUACUGGGUGUAAAGGGCGUGUAGGCGGGGAGGCAAGUCAGAUGUGAAAACCACGGGCUCAACCUGUGGCCUGCAUUUGAAACUGUUUUUCUUGAGUGCUGGAGAGGG